UACGUAGGGGGCAAGCGUUAUCCGGAUUUACUGGGUGUAAAGGGGGCGCAGACGGCAAUGCAAGCCAGGAGUGAAAGCCCGGGGCCCAACCCCGGGACUGCUCUUGGAACUGCAUGGCUGGAGUACAGGAGGGGCAGGCGGAAUUCCUAGUGUAGCGGUGAAAUGCGUAGAUAUAUGGAGGAACACCGGUGGCGAAAGCGGCUCUCUGGCCUGUAACUGACACUGAGGCUCGAAAGCGUGGGGAGCAAACAGG
rnacentral:rRNA from 1 species